UCGUGCUAGACGGGGAGCUAGCGGUGCCCUGUAACCCGAGAGCCGCUUACGCGGGGUUGAAGUCCCUUCCGAGGAUUGCAGCGCAUCCGGGAGAGGCUGUCCCGGGUGGCGGAUUGGACCCCACGCAACAGACGCUGGUGAACCCCGUCAGGUCCGGAAGGAAGCAGCGGUAAACCAGGCGGUCUGUGUCGCGGCGGCUGCUAAUCCUUAAACCCCCGGGCGGUCCCCCCGGUUGAGGCGGAUUCGAAGAAGGGUGCACGG
rnacentral:SRP_RNA from 1 species